rnacentral:rRNA from 1 species
GAUGAACGCUGGCGGCGUGCCUAAUACAUGCAAGUCGAGCGAACAGACGAGGAGCUUGCUCCUCUGACGUUAGCGGCGGACGGGUGAGUAACACGUGGAGAACCUACCUAUAAGACUGGGAUAACUACGGGAAACCGGAGCGAAUACCGGAUAAUAUAUUGAACCGCAUGGUUCAAUAGUGAAAGACUGUUUUGCUGUUACUGAUAGAUGGAUCCGCGCCGCAGUAGCUAGUUGGUAAGGUAACGGCUUACCAAGGCAACGAUGCGUAGCCGACCUGAGAGAGUGAUCGGCCACACUGGAACAGAGACACGGUCCAGACUCCUACGGGAGGCAGGAGUAGGGAAUCUUCCGCGAUGGGCGAAAGCCUGACGGAGCAACGCCGCGUGAGUGAUGAAGGUCUUCGGAUCGUAAAACUCUGUUAUUAGGGAAGAACAAAUGUGUAAGUAACUAUGCACGUCUUGACGGUACCUAAUCAGAAAGCCACGGCUAACUACGUG